rnacentral:lncRNA from 1 species
GUAUUUAUUGGCCGAUUGGCCGGUGGUUUGGCUCUGAUUUGGCCAUAGGCAUAUUCAACAUCGAAAAAUGAGCCAAGGGCAGAAAAUUUACCUCGUUUGGCGGUCAGAAAAUCCUCCGGUGCGGCGGCGGCCGGCUCCUCCGAUAACGGGUUCUUCUUCUCCGGUGAGGGUACUGGCGGCUAGGGUUUGGGGUUGGGUGUGGGUGAGGUUAUUUAUAACCUUCCCCUUUUAAUCUUAGCCAUCCAUCACGAUUUAUUCUGGGCCGUCCAAUCGCGAUUAAAAUGGGAAUAAAUCUGGGCUGUCUGUGUGUGAUUCAAUCUAAGCCGUCCGUGUGCGUGAGAUCUUGGCCGUUCGUACGCGUG